rnacentral:rRNA from 1 species
GGGUCAGUAGGUUGGUCGUGCCACCGGUACGUACUGGUCUCACUGAUUCCUCCUUCCUGAAGAACCGUAAUGCCAUUAAUUUGGUGUUGCGGGGAAACAGGACUGUUACUUUGAAAAAAUUAGAGUGUUUAAGGCAAGCUAACGCUUGAAUACAUUAGCACGGAAUAAUGAAAUAGGACGAUCGAUCCUAUUUUGUUGGUUUCUAGGAUUGACGUA